CGCGCGAUUAGCUAGUUGGUGGGGCAACGGCCCACCAAGGCGACGAUCGGUAGCCGGACUGAGAGGUUGAUCGGCCACAUUGGGACUGAGACACGGCCCAGACUCCUACGGGAGGCAGCAG
rnacentral:rRNA from 1 species